rnacentral:rRNA from 1 species
CAGCAGUAAGGAAUAUUGGUCAAUGGGCGAGAGCCUGAACCAGCCAUGCCGCGUGCAGGAAGACGGCCUUAUGGGUUGUAAACUGCUUUUAUCGGGGAAUAAACCUAUCUACGUGUAGAUAGCUGAAGGUACCCGAAGAAUAAGCAUCGGCUAACUCCGUGCCAGCAGCCGCGGUAAUACGGAGGAUGCAAGCGUUAUCCGGAUUCAUUGGGUUUAAAGGGUGCGCAGGCGGAUUGGUAAGUCAGUGGUGAAAUUCUAGUGCUUAACAUUAGAGCUGCCAUUGAUACUGUCAGUCUAGAGUAUAGUUGGAGUGGGCGGAAUGUGUCAUGUAGCGGUGAAAUGCUUAGAUAUGACACAGAACACCGAUCGCGAAGGCAGCUCACUAAGCUAAAACUGACGCUCAUGCACGAAAGCGUGGGGAUCAAACAGGAUUAGAUACCCUGGUAGUCCACGCUGUAAACGAUGAUUACUCGAUGUUGGCGAUACACAGUCAGCGUCUGARCGAAAGYAUUAAGU